UCCUCGGGGGCUGCUUGGCUGUUUUCAAAGUGAUUCAGGUGUGGGGCCCCGUGCUUCCUUGAGGCCUUUGCACUACAUUACCCAGGAUAACUUGUGUUAAGGCAGCAACGUUGAUACAAUGAAAAUCCAGAAAGGGUGCAUUUCCGGGAGAGGGCCGUCUUCCUGGCGGACAUUUUGAUUGCUGUGGAGUCUGAGGAGCUCGUCAGAAAGUCGAGUCUAUAAACUCCCAGGGUCAUCGCAGCAUGUGUAACAGCAGCGUCUCCUGCAGUACCAUACCUUACUGAGGAUUCUCAAAAAAGUGAUUCUGAGAGUUGUGACCCCUAUACCAUGAGGAAGAGCUUUGAUUACACCCUGAAAACCUGGUACUGUGUCUUGGAAUCUAACAAGAUAAAAAAGAGCAAACUAUAGGGCACUUCACUAAUCUCCAAAUACCAGGGUUCCUGCCCAUGCAGCAUCAGCUGAAGAGCCCAAGGAGGCACAGAAAUUGAGGAAAACUACAUUCUUUGCUCUGCCACUGACCCUGGUCAUAAGAAUGAGACAGCCCCAGAGAGCAUGACAAUCUCCAUACAUGAUCUCAUCCAGCGAUAGUGACUUGAAUGUUUAUGGAUGUGUUUUUAGCAUGGACACACCCAUUCUCGUUUGCAGCAGUCUCUCCAAUCUCAAUUAUUCACACCCAGUGUUUCUGCAUCAAUUUUGUUUCCUUCCUGGACACAGUAAGUCUUACAGCCAUUGACUCCUGUACCAGAUUCUGGCCUUCAGGGCAUAUGGCAUUUGGCAGCUCCUAAGGAACAGCUGCCCCUCAACAGUGCCAGGGAAUGUGGCAUAUAUGGUGAAAACAAGACACUGAAGCCAUGCUGCUCCCAAACAUGUUGUAGGUUGUUACAAUACCACCCUUCUCAAGGUGAUGUUUGGACCCUCAAAUAACUGAAAUCUAGACAAAAUCAGGCCCACAAAGCCCUGAAUUCUCACCCAAGCUUUUGUCAGCAAUGGAAAUUAACACCAAGAUUGGACUGAGAACUGUUCUCUGUCAACCUGUUCUAUUUGAGGCACACAGUAGGGAGCCCACCACAAACAGUUUACCUCUGCAGUUUGGCAGAGUCUAACGGUUUCUAAACCACUCCAGACACUAAAAAGAACCUCAGAGAUUAAAGGUGGCUUAAAUAAUAAGGUAUUUAUUACCACACAAACCAGCGCAACAUGAGUCAAGUAGUUAUCCAGCCUGGGUGACUUGGAGGCUGGAAAAAUUCAUCACAAGUAUCACAUGAGACCAACAAUGUCCAUGAAUAAAGUAAACCUUUUCUGCUACCAGAGCACAGCUUAGAUCAUCUUGGCUAAAGGUGGAUCAUGUCCAUGCCUUUUCCGGUCAGAGGUAAGCAAAUGAGGACCACCAUUUAAUUCAGAUUUCUUAUAAUUUCCUCCAGGGAUUGAAGAGAGCAUGAAGUUCUGCCUCCCCUAAAAAUAUUAGGGUAAGCUGGUUGAGUUGAGAUGGUUUCAGCCACAGGCACUAACAAAUUUGGCAAGGAACCUGAGCAGGUCUGAAAGUGCAACAUAGCUUCUGAAAGCUUCCCCUGCACCUGGCAUUCAUAAAAUACUCCACAGUAUUAAUGUCCAGAUAUAUGUGGUUUGACACAUGAUUGAUGUCUCCCUCUCUAAAGGCAGACACAGAGCUCCUCGCCAUGAGUUCUGUUGUGUUGGACGCACUCCUACAGCCUUCCGGCAGUGUGAACUUUCUGGUGCCUAAUGAGAUGGGAGCUUAAGCUAUACGAUUUCCCACAUUCAUUGCAUUCAUAUGGCCUUUCUCCAGUGUGAACUUUUUGGUGCCGAACAAGGUGGGAGGUUCUGAUGAAAUCUUUCCCACAUUUGCUGCACACAAAAGGCCUUUCACCUGUGUGAACUCUCUGGUGUGCAAUAAAGUCAGAGCUUCGACUAAAGAAUUUCCCACAUUCA